UACAGAGGGUGCAAGCGUUAAUCGGAAUUACUGGGCGUAAAGCGUGCGUAGACGGUCAUGUAAGUCGGGUGUGAAAGCCCCGGGCUCAACCUGGGAAUUGCAUUCGAGACUGCAUGGCUAGGGUGCGGAAGAGGGAAGCGGAAUUUCCGGUGUAGCGGUGAAAUGCGUAGAUAUCGGAAGGAACACCAGUGGCGAAAGCGGCUUCCUGGUCCAGCACCGACGUUCAGGCACGAAAGCGUGGGUAGCAAACAGG
rnacentral:rRNA from 1 species